AUUUAUGCGCUGAGAUGGUAGCCGCUGGCUGAAACGAAGGUGUUGUUGUUUCGGAUCAGUCCGGUACAGUUGAAACCGCCGCCGUGGCGAUUUUAAUUUCGAUAAACUGCGCCACAUUUUCGUCUCUAGGCAAAUACUUCUCUGAAUUACUAAUGCAUAUGCACAUUCUCCAUUUGUCUGGAAUCCGUCUGUUAUGCAAGCCACACACGAUACAAUUGGUUGUACAACUUGGAGAGAUUUUAUUCAAGAUUGUAUCGUUUGUGGCCCGGUUGUACGAAGUUGUGUCUCGGUUGUACGAAAAAUCAAAUUAUUUUUAAUGUUUGGCAUGUUGUACCAACCGAUUGUAACGUUUGUGGACACAUCAAAACAACACCAAAAUGGAAGACUCCGCACAAAUGCGUGAUUUUAUUGAAUGUUAUAAAAGUAUGAUGGAAUUGUGGAAUUGCAAAAAUGAAAAUUAUAAAAAUAAAAACAUGCGAAAUAAAAGCUAUGAUAAACUGUUAAUUGAAUAUAAAAAAAAAUGAUGGGAUCCUUAAAAAAGUGAAGAAGAAAAUAGCAAAUAUGCGGACUUGUUAUCGCCGCGAAUUGAUGAAAGUGAUAAAGAGUCAAAAGUCUGGAUCGGGAGUAAUGAAAUUUAUGUGUCAAAGUUUUGUCAAGUUUUUAAAAAAAGUGCUGAACAUUUGGAGUCGUCAGCAAACAAUUCAAAAGUCGAAGAUGGAGCCACUACAUAUGCAAAUGGAUAGGCUUGCAUGUAUCGGCAAAUGAACCCAAAACAACAAUUACAUGCAAAAAGAGCCAUUGAUGAAAUUUUGAUGAUGGGACGAUUAAAUCAAUUGACCUAUAAUACACUGCAAAGCAGUUUAAAUGGAUCUUCCACUCCAAACUCCAACAGCUCGAUCCCGCUGAUUUUUAGCACAAUUCGGUUCAAUAUAUACGGACGUCAGUACUGCCAAGCGAUAGUCAAAAAAAUGUAUGGAAUGAAUCUUCCACGCCAAAUUCCAUAGCUCGACCCCGUUUAUUUUCAGUGACGAUUCUGUUCAAUACAUACAGACGUCAGUCUUGCAAAGCGGUAGGGAAACCUAACCUAAUAUACGUACAACUUCAAACCCAGCAAAUAAAUCACACCACUAUUAAGAUUUUAAAGAAUUAUUUAAUGAUUCUGAGUACCAAUAAAUCAAAAACUUUUUGAAAUUAUAUGAUUUUAAUUUUUAGUUAAUAAAAAUCUUUAAUGUAAAUAAAAAUUAUGUAAUAAAGUGUUCUCAAUUGUUAUAUUGUUUCACAAAACUUAA